GACAGAGGUGCCGAGCGUUAGGCGGAAUCACUGGGCGUAAAGCGUGCGUAGGUGGUUUGUUAAGUCUGAUGUGAAAGCCCUGGGCUCAACCUGGGAAUGGCAUUGGAUACUGGCGAGCUAGAGUGCGGUAGAGGGUAGUGGAAUUCCCGGUGUAGCAGUGAAAUGCGUAGAGAUCGGGAGGAACAUCUGUGGCGAAGGCGACUACCUGGACCAGCACUGACACUGAGGCACGAAAGCGUGGGGAGCAAACAGG
rnacentral:rRNA from 1 species